UACAGAGGGUGCGAGCGUUAAUCGGAAUUACUGGGCGUAAAGCGCGCGUAGGCGGCUUGUUAAGUCGGAUGUGAAAUCCCUGGGCUCAACCUAGGCAUUGCAUUCGAUACUGGCAAGCUAGAGUGUGGGAGAGGAAGGUAGAAUUCCAGGUGUAGCGGUGAAAUGCGUAGAGAUCUGGAGGAAUACCGAUGGCGAAGGCAGCCUUCUGGCCUAAUACUGACGCUGAGGUGCGAAAGCAUGGGGAGCAAACAGG
rnacentral:rRNA from 1 species